UACGUAGGGGGCAAGCGUUGUCCGGAAUCAUUGGGCGUAAAGCGCGUGUAGGCGGCUCAGUAAGUCCGCUCUGAAAGCCCGGGGCUCAACCCCGGGAGGCGGGUGGAUACUGCUGAGCUUGAGUCCGGAAGAGGCGAGUGGAAUUCCCGGUGUAGCGGUGAAAUGCGCCAGAUAUCGGGAGGAACACCAAUGGGCGAAGGCAGCUCGCUGGGACGUGACUGACGCUGAGA
rnacentral:rRNA from 1 species